CCAAUCAGGUCAGCUGGGGAUUCUUAGGACCUUUCAAACCUUGUCUGGGAAUGUAUCUGCUCUUGACCUGUGGAGUCUCAGCCAAGAAUGUGGAUAAAGAGAAAAUUAUUGUUCCUCACCUACAAUUUGGUGACCCAUGAUGGAGCCUGCUAAGAUACAGGAACCUGGAAAACUGGCAGAAGCUGGCAAAAGAUAAGAAUUAUUACCAAAGUCAGCUCUUCAGGAUCUGUCUGCACAGUGCCCUGAUGAGAACACAAGGGAAGUCUCAGGAAAGAACUCAGUAGGGUAAAGGGAAAAUUAUUUUUCCUUUCCCACACUAUUACAAUCUUGAGCCUGAAAGCUAGAAACUCAGAAUUCCUCUUUCUUUGAGGACCUCAGGCUUUGCUCUUAGGUCUGAUUGGAUGCAGUCUGUUGAAAAGUGGAUGGAUUCCUACUUCAUCCUGUGAUCAGCCCUUCUGGUGGCAUCUCACAAAGCAGCAGGUAGAUCAAUCUAAGAGCUAACCACUCAGCUUCAGUGAAAGGGACAGCAUCAUGGAAGUGAUUAGGGAGGAUUUAGUGACUCCUCCCAUCCUGAAAACUGAAGAACCCAUCCUAUGGAGUCAUAAAAGUUAACUGAUAUUUUUGAUAUUUAGACUAACAAUUACAGAGAUGAUGAGUGGUACUGGGCAUGUCAUUUUAGCAUGUUUUACCUGGCAUGCCUCAAUUUAAUUCCACUUUCAAUAAAGUGAGGGAAUUAACUUAUAUACACAUUAGCUUCUUGUCUAAAUAGUUAAAUGUGUAUCAAAGCCAGUAUAUGUCACAGAGAAUAAUUUAAAAAAUGUGAUAUGUGAUAUAUCUUUUAGGAAAUAUUUAACCUUAUAUACUUAUAUUGUCAAGAAGAUAUGAAAUUCCUCUGAAACUUACUGGUGCAAAGACAAAUUAUCCAGACAUAAAUAUCUAGCAUUACUAUCUGCCCAGAAUCAUCACAGCAAGUCAAUUACAUACUUAGGUCUCAAAAAAAGAGAGGUCCUGGGUUAGAGAACAUUUAUCAAUAGUCUCCAUUUCACCUGAAUACAAUCAGCCAGCUCUUGUAGGUUAUUAGGUGAUCACUCUAAUAUAUUUCUUAAACUAAUCUUAAGAGAGAAAAAGAAUCCAAAUCAAUUCUUAUUAUCAUAAAUUUAAAAAUGGCAUACCAGAUCUUGAAAAAGAGCAGAGCUUUUCUUAAAACUGAGUUGUCUUAGAGCUUCUGUUUCUUAUCUAUAAAGGACUAAUCAUACACACUCCCAAAAUAGGUAUGAGAAGUAGAUACAAUAAUACAUAGAAUUUUU